rnacentral:RNase_P_RNA from 1 species
CGGGUGACCGAUCUGGCUCGGUAAACCCCACUGGGAGCAAGGCCAAGCAGGAAGAAGUUCGACCCUUCGGGGAUCGGCGCGGAGUUGCUCGCUCCGCUCCCGCCUUCCGGGUCGGCUGCUGGAGGUGACAGGCAACUGUCAUCCUAGAGAAAUGGUCACCCCCGCAACGUCCUUUCGAGGGCUCUGCGAGGACAAAACCCGGCUUACAGGUCCGCUCCGGUC